rnacentral:rRNA from 1 species
UACGUAGGGUGCGAGCGUUAAUCGGAAUUACUGGGCGUAAAGAGUGCGUAGGCGGUUUCUCAAGUCCGCUGUGGAAUCCCCGGGCUCAACCUGGGAAUGGCAGUGGAAACUAGGAGACUUGAAUCUGGCAGAGGGGGGUGGAAUUCCACGUGUAGCAGUGAAAUGCGUAGAGAUGUGGAGGAACACCGAUGGCGAAGGCAGCCCCCUGGGCUGAGAUUGACGCUCAGGCACGAAAGCGUGGGGAGC